UUUCCCCUCUUUUUCUUCUUCCCCAGCCCGAUACCCUAGUACCCCUUGCCGCCCCUUCCCACAUCUUUGUCUCUAUCACACAAAGUGCCCCAAGCCGCAUCGUUAUUGCCCCACGUCUGUGCUAAGGCCUCUCUGUCUCUCUCUCUGGCUGAUCUCUAUUUGCAGCACAUAACCCACAAAUCUGGUCGAUUGGUCCCUCACUUUCACUCCGAUAGAGAUUUUCUCUGGCCCACAAUAGCACGCCGCAAGAAGAAGAUGCAAUUAACAAGUGACCACAAAAUGACUUUAAGUUACUAAGAAGAAUACUGCAGCAUUUGCUACUACAUGGUUGCAAAGGCCUUGCAAGACUCUGCAUGAUUGAUACACAGCUCACCUAGAUGUCAAACCUGCAAAUAUUUCUAUCGAGAAUGGUGUUUUCUAAGAUCAUGAUUGGUGGAUGUGCAACUCUCUCUGACAAGAAUGAUGGCUUAUGUUCAACUAAUCAUGAUGUGUUCAAAAUUGGGGGUUGUUUAGAAUCUGUACUAUGAAAUGAUUUCAACUAUAUUCAUGUCAAACUCAAUACUUGGUUCCAAUUGGCACGUUUAAACAUGGUACGCCCUCCAAGUUUGAAGAAUGGUUGAAGAGAAGUUGGCACCCAUAUUUUUCAAUUAGUUCGAUGGGCUUGGUUUUUAUUUAUUACAAAAAUGAAUAGAUUAUCUUACGUUCGGCAAAGUUUGGUUUUAAUUAUAUUACUAUGAUCGUCUGUUUUGCUUAGAACUGUU